AGCUUAAUGCAGAUAGGAUUCAGGAGUCAUUUGGAUUUUUAAAGCCCACAGAUUCAACUUGGGGGAAGAAUGGGUUCCGCACCCCACAUGGACCCUGAUGUGGGGCUUGACCCUGAGAUCAAGAACUGAGCUAAGAUCAAGAGUCCGACGGUUAAUGGAUUGAGACAUCCAGGCACCUCUCUCCUGAGCUUUUUAUGUGUUGAAGGCUGAUGUUUUAAAUCAAGACUCCAAAGGUGAAGGCUUCAAGGCAGUUCAUGAAAUCCAGCCAACACCACAACCCUUGUAAUUACCAUUACCUCUAUACCUUCAAGAGGCUGGGGUGAAGACAUUCCUGACUGGUGCCCCUCCAGCUGGACCACAUCCCAGCCCACCCCUGAGAGUCUUUGCCACAUGAUGCUGUCUG